AUGAUCAAGGAGUGUGCUAAGUAUCAACAAUGGCCAGCAAAUCCAAAAAUAGAUCCAUCGGACGCAUGUUAUGCCGUGUGGCAAAAGGCAAACAUCCCAUGCCUUUGCGCUGGUGUCACCAAGGAGAAAGAGAAGAUAUAUUGUAUGGAGAAGGUUGGCUACGUUGCCAAUUUCUGCAAGAAGCCGUUCCCACAUGGCUACAAGUGCGGAAGUUACACAUUCCCUCCUAUGGCGUAG
rnacentral:rRNA from 1 species